ACUGAUUUGGCAGAAUUUGAGUGCAUUAAAUUUAGGAUUUAAUUAUAUUGUGUUUAAACAUUAGUUAGUA
rnacentral:tRNA from 1 species